rnacentral:rRNA from 1 species
AGGACGAACGCUGGCGGCGUGCCUAACACAUGCAAGUCGAACGGGACCAGGGGCAACUCUGGUUCAGUGGCGGACGGGUGCGUAACACGUGAGGAACAUGACUUUCGGUGGGGGAUAGCCGGCCCAACGGCCGGGUAAUACCGCGUACGACCUUUUGGGGACAUCCCUGAUUGGUGAAAGCAGCAGUGCGCCGAAAGAGUGCCUCGCGGCCUAUCAGCUAGUUGGUGGGGUAAUGGCUCACCAAGGCGACGACGGGUAGC